GUGAGAAAUCUGAAUAGUAGAGAGCUGAAGGGGAGGAGCCACAAGCGUCAGUCAAAAGGGGAGGAGCCACAAGCGUCAGUCAGUCUGAGUUUCCACCUCUGGUCCCCAAGUCUUCAGAAGGACCUAUUGGAACUGGAAAUGGACAAGAAUAGAACAUCCAAGAUGAUCAGGAGACUGGAGAAGUUCCUGUAUGAAGAGAGAUGAAAAACUUAGGGCACUUUUAUUUGUUUUGUUGACCUCCGGUUUAUCAGUUUGGUUAUCAGUUUGGUGUGGCCACCACAGUUUGAUUCAGUUCCUCUAAUUAAAAUCACUUUGGAUGAGAGA